rnacentral:rRNA from 1 species
AUUGAACGCUGGCGGCAUGCCUAACACAUGCAAGUCGAACGGCAGCACAGCCGUAGCAAUACGGUGGGUGGCGAGUGGCGGACGGGUGAGGAAUGCAUCGGAAUCUGCCCGGUCGUGGGGGAUAACGCAUCGAAAGGUGCGCUAAUACCGCAUGAGAUCGAGCGAUGAAAGCGGGGGACCGCAAGGCCUCGCGCGAUCGGAUGAGCCGAUGCCGGAUUAGCGAGUUGGCGGGGUAAAGGCCCACCAAGGCGACGAUCCGUAGCUGGUCUGAGAGGAUGAUCAGCCACACUGGGACUGAGACACGGCCCAGACUCCUACGGGAGGCAGCAGUGGGGAAUAUUGGACAAUGGGCGCAAGCCUGAUCCAGCAAUGCCGCGUGUGUGAAGAAGGCCUUCGGGUUGUAAAGCACUUUUAUCGGGAGCGAAAAGCGGACGGUGAAUACCCGUCCGUGCUGACGGUACCCGAGGAAUAAGCACCGGCUAACUUCGUGCCAGCCGCCGCGGUAAAAC